GAUGAACGCUAGCGGGAGGCCUAACACAUGCAAGCCGAGCGGUGUUGUUUCUUCGGAAAUGAGAGAGCGGCGUACGGGUGCGGAACACGUGUGCAACCUGCCUUUAUCUGGGGGAUAGCCUUUCGAAAGGAAGAUUAAUACUCCAUAAUAUAUUGAACGGCAUCGUUUGAUAUUGAAAGCUCCGGCGGAUAGAGAUGGGCACGCGCAAGAUUAGCUAGUUUGUGAGGUAACGGCUCACCAAGGCGAUGAUCUUUAGGGGGCCUGAGAGGGUGAUCCCCCACACUGGUACUGAGGCACGGACCAGACUCCUGCGGGAGGCAGCAGUGAGGAAUAUUGGUCAAUGGGUGCAAGCCUGAACCAGCCAUCCCGCGUGAAGGACGACUGCCCUAUGGGUUGUAAACUUCUUUUGUAUAGGGAUAAACCUACCCUCGUGAGGGUAGCUGAAGGUACUAUACGAAUAAGCACCGGCUAACUCCGUGCCAGCAGCCGCAGUAAGAC
rnacentral:rRNA from 1 species